rnacentral:rRNA from 1 species
CGACCGGCGCACGGGUGAGUAACGCGUAUCCAACCUUCCCAUUACUGUGGGAUAACCUGCCGAAAGGCAGACUAAUACCGCAUAGUCUUCGAUGACGGCAUCAGAUUUGAAGUAAAGAUUUAUCGGUAAUGGAUGGGGAUGCGUCUGAUUAGCUUGUUGGCGGGGUAACGGCCCACCAAGGCGACGAUCAGUAGGGGUUCUGAGAGGAAGGUCCCCCACAUUGGAACUGAGACACGGUCCAAACUCCUACGGGAGGCAGCAGAC